UGCGAGUCGAGCGGAUGACGGGAGCUUGCUCCUUGAUUCAGCGGCGGACGGGUGAGUAAUGCCUAGGAAUCUGCCUGGUAGUGGGGGACAACGUUUCGAAAGGAACGCUAAUACCGCAUACGUCCUACGGGAGAAAGUGGGGGAUCUUCGGACCUCACGCUAUCAGAUGAGCCUAGGUCGGAUUAGCUAGUUGGUGAGGUAAUGGCUCACCAAGGCGACGAUCCGUAACUGGUCUGAGAGGAUGAUCAGUCACACUGGAACUGAGACACGGUCCAGACUCCUACGGGAGGCAGCAGUGGGGAAUAUUGGACAAUGGGCGAAAGCCUGAUCCAGCCAUGCCGCGUGUGUGAAGAAGGUCUUCGGAUUGUAAAGCACUUUAAGUUGGGAGGAAGGGCAGUAAGUUAAUACCUUGCUGUUUUGACGUUACCGACAGAAUAAGCACCGGCUAUCUCUGUGCCAGCAGCCGCGGUAAUACAGAGGGUGCAAGCGUUAAUCGGAAUUACUGGGCGUAAAGCGCGCGUAGGUGGUUCGUUAAGUUGGAUGUGAAAGCCCCGUGCUCCACCUGGGAACUGCAUCCCAAACUGGCGAGCUAGAGUACGGUAGAGGGUGGUGGAAUUUCCCUGUGUAGCGGUGAAAUGCGUAGAUAUAGGAAGGAACACCAGUGGCGAAGGCGACCACCUGGACUGAUACUGACACUGAGGUGCGAAAGC
rnacentral:rRNA from 1 species